GUGGUGAACGGGUGAGUAAUGCAUCGGAACGUGCCAUUGAGUGGGGGAUAACGUAGCGAAAGUUGCGCUAAUACUGCAUAUUCUGUGAGCAGGAAAGCAGGGGACCGCAAGGCCUUGCGCUCUUUGAGCGGCCGAUGUCAGAUUAGCUAGUUGGUGAGGUAAAGGCUUACCAAGGCGACGAUCUGUAGCGGGUCUGAGAGGAUGAUCCGCCACACUGGAAUUGAGACACGGUCCAGACUCCUACGGGAGGCAGCAGGGGAAUUUUGGACAAUGGGGGCAACCCUGAUCCAGCCAUGCCGCGUGAGUGAAGAAGGCCUUCGGGUUGUAAAGCUCUUUCGGCCGGGAAGAAAUCGCAUGGGCCAAUACCCUGUGUGGAUGACGGUACCGGAAUAUGAAGCACCGGCUAACUACGUGCCAGCAGCCGCGGUAAUACGUAGGGUGCGAGCGUUAAUCGGAAUUACUGGGCGUAAAGCGUGCGCAGGCGGUUUUGUAAGACAGGCGUGAAAUCCCCGGGCUUAACCUGGGAACUGCGUUUGUGACUGCAAGGCUAGAGUACGGCAGAGGGGGGUGGAAUUCCACGUGUAGCAGUGAAAUGCGUAGAGAUGUGGAGGAACACCAAUGGCGAAGGCAGCCCCCUGGGUCGAUACUGACGCUCAUGCACGAAAGCGUGGGUAGCAAACAGGAUUAGAUACCCUGGUAGUCCACGCCCUAAACUAUGUCAACUAGGUGUUGGGUGGGUAAAACCAUUUAGUACCGUAGCUAACGCGUGAAGUUGACCGCCUGGGGAGUACGGCCGCAAGGUUAAAACUCAAAGGAAUUGACGGGGACCCGCACAAGCGGUGGAUGAUGUGGAUUAAUUCGAUGCAACGCGAAAAACCUUACCUACCCUUGACAUGCCAGGAACUUGCCAGAGAUGGCUUGGUGCCCGAAAGGGAGCCUGGACACAGGUGCUGCAUGGCUGUCGUCAGCUCGUGUCGUGAGAUGUUGGGUUAAGUCCCGCAACGAGCGCAACCCUUGUCGUUAAUUGCCAUCAUUUAGUUGGGCACUUUAACGAGACUGCCGGUGACAAACCGGAGGAAGGUGGGGAUGACGUCAAGUCCUCAUGGCCCUUAUGGGUAGGGCUUCACACGUCAUACAAUGGUCGGUACAAAGGGUUGCCAAGCCGCGAGGCGGAGCCAAUCCCAGAAAGCCGAUCGUAGUCCGGAUUGCAGGCUGCAACUCGCCUGCAUGAAGUCGGAAUCGCUAGUAAUCGUGGAUCAGCAUGUCACGGUGAAUACGUUCCCGGGUCUUGUACACACCGCCCGUCACACCAUGGGAGCGGGUUCCGCCAGAAGUAGGUAGCCUAACCGCAAGGGGGGCGCUUACCACGGCGGGGUUCGUGAC
rnacentral:rRNA from 1 species